CAGCGCCCCUUCACUGACUGACAGGGAUCGCACACUAGCUAGUAUGGUUUGUAACAAGAUGACACACUGAAAUCAGCUUGUUCAGACCAACAAACAAGCUUAGAUGUUUCCUUUGCAGUUCAGAUGUCACCCACUGAACCGAAUCAACCAAGGAGACGUGCAAGAAGAAGAAGAAGAAGAAGAGGGAAAAAAACUCCCCUUGCCAAGAACACAAGAACAGAGUAUAAGAGUCGAGUUAAUCAGCAGCAGCGGCCGGGGCUCGAUCCACCCGCGCAUAUAUCAGUGAGUCACCUGCUCAUCAUCUCAUCUCAUUGGGAUGCCAGAUGCCGAAUGCCGAUGCGGAUGCCAGUACCAAUGACUUGUUUGUACUAGAGUAGUACGUAUAUUACAAUGGUUGGUUGGGGAUCACCUCACGCCGCUCUCACAUCCCCUUCUUCUUCUUCUUCUUUUGCAGGGUGCCCGUGGCGACGGCGGCGGCUACGGCGUCGUCGUCGCAGACGCCGCGCGUGCCGUAGCAGUGCAGGAACACCCAGAGCAGGGCGGCGUUGAGGAGGGUGUUGACCACCCACGCCCCGAUGCCGCUGCACCCGUCGGCCAUCGCCCCGCCGAAGUGCAUCCACACGACCCAACUUUGGUGUUGGACUGCGUAUCAUGAUCUGAACAACACGCAGGUAGUCAUGGUGGGAGCAGAAAAGAUCGAUGAUGGUGCAGAAGAAGUUAGUAUGUAUUCUUUCUGUUCCAAAAUAGAUGACCCAACUUUGUAUUAACUUUAGUAUAAAAUUGGAUUAUCUAUUUUGAAACGGAGGGAGUACGUAGUAAUCCAUCCAUCUGCUGGCCAGCGGAGGACGAAGAGAUCCAUGUCGCUGGGUGCAAGGGAAAAGAGGUAGGCAUUCAGAGCCGCGCCGUAGGUACGUGCGUUCAUGCUUGCAUGUUUUCCAGACGAUGACAGAGUAAACCAGGGUAAUUAAAGUCGAUCAGGUGGCCGGAUCAAGGGGAUCGAGGAUGUGUAAAUACAUGUUUUGGUGUGAUGAUGAUGAUGAUGGUGUAGCGAUGAAAUUGCUAUAAGAAAACAAAGGAGAAAUUGUAGCGCGGUGAUCCGGUAUAUAUCAUGUAAUUGUUUGUGAUUAGUGUUGGUCGUAUUGUAUAUGAGGGAAAUGUUUUGCUAAAGCACAUCUAGAUUUAUUCUAAGUAUUGCACAUCUAAGUCCA